rnacentral:rRNA from 1 species
UACGUAGGUUGCGAGCGUUAUUCGGAUUUACUGGGCGUAAAGAGCACCGGGGUGGCUUCUUAAGUUGGAUGUGAAAUCUCCCGGCUUAACUGGGAGGCGCCAUUCAAAACUGGGGAGCUUGAGGUCAGCAGGGGAAAGUGGAAUUCCCGGUGUAGUGGUGGAAUGCGUAGAGAUCGGGAGGAACACCAGUGGCGAAAGCGACUUUCUGGGCUGCACCUGACACUCUAGUGCGAAAGCGUGGGGAGCAAACAGG